rnacentral:rRNA from 1 species
AUCUGACAAUGGGAUUCCUUAAGUAAUUGCGAAUGAACAAGGAAAUGCUCAGCUUGAAAAAUGGGGCCUUUGGCUUUGAAUUGUAAUUUUGAAAUGUAUUGCCAAUGGAGGCGCAGGUGCAAGCCUAUUGAAAGAAAGCGUCAAUGAGGGUGAGAUUCCUUUUUGUCAUUUGCAGUCCUCCGUGCACGGUAUAUAUUUGACGAGUCACACUCCUCGGCAUUGGAAUGCAAAGUGGGUGGUAAAUUCCAUGUAAAGGUAAAUAUAUUAUUGAGACUGAUAGCAAACAAGUACCAUGAGGGAAAUAUGAAAAGGACUUUGAAAAGAGAAUUAAAAGAGUCUGCAUUUGCUGAACAGAAAGCAAACAGAAUUGAUUUUACUUGGUGAGAUUGUUGUGCUUACUCUAUCAUUUAUAUGGUUGAUGUGGGUGCGAUGGUUCUUACCUUGAAUGUCAGCUUCUAUUUCUGCAAAUCAUUACCCUUGCACAUGAAUGGUAACUUGCCUGCGGGUAUUGGAAUGCAUGUGUUUGCAAUGAUUUGUGAUUUGACGCAUGUGUUUGGUGAAAUUUGUAUAUGCUCUUUUGUCGAAGGGGAAAGCUUACUUUUUUGAGCAUUGCAAGCCCUUACACAUCAGUGCUGGCAAAAUGUUUCUGCUUGACCCGUCUUGAAACCGGGAACCAAGGAA